ACCGACUGCUAUUUGGGUGAGAAUGAGCCAUGCAAGUCGAAUGGAAUACCAAAAUAUUCCAUGGCAAACUGCUCAAUAACACGUGAUCAACUUACCCUAUGGAAAACAAUAACCUCUGGAAACGGAGGAUAAUGGUUUAUAGUUGAAAAGGCUUGGAAAAGUUUUUCAAUAAAAGGGAAUAAUAAAAAUGGUUAUUAUUUUGCCAUAGGAUAGGAUUGCGGUCGAUUAUGGCUGUUGGUGAGGUAAUGGCUCACCAAACCAAUAAUCGAUAGGGGCCGUGAGAGCGGGAGCCCCGAGAUGGGUACUGAGACAACGACCCAGGCCUUACGAGGUGCAGCAGGCGCGAAAACUCCGCAAUACACGAAAGUGUGACGGGGUUACCCAAAGUGCUUAAUUUUUAAGCUGUGGUAAGUGUGUAAUGUACCUUACUAGAAAGGAGAGGGCAAGGCUGGUGCCAGCCGCCGCGGUAAAACCAGCUCUUCAAGUGGUCGGGAUAUUAUUGGGCUUAAAGUGUCCGUAGCUUGUAUAAUAAGUUCCUGGUGAAAUCUAAUAGCUUAACUAUUAGUAUGCUAGGAAUACUGUUAUACUAGAGGGCGGGAGAGGUUUGAGGUACUUCAGGGGUAGGGGUGAAAUCCUAUAAUCCUUGAAGGACCACCAGUGGCGAAGGCGUCAGACUGGAACGCGCCUGACAGUGAGGGACGAAAGCCAGGGGAGCGAACCGGAUUAGAUACCCGGGUAGUCCUGGCCGUAAACGAUGCACACUAGGUGUUGGUAUGGCUAUGAGCCAUAUCAGUGCCGAAGGGAAACCAUUAAGUGUGCCGCCUGGGAAGUACGGUCGCAAGGCUAAAACUUAAAGGAAUUGGCGGGGGAGCACCACAAGGGGUGAAGCCUGCGGUUCA
rnacentral:rRNA from 1 species